UCACUUGUAGAUGAGUGAAAACAUUUCUAGGAAACAUGAUUCACAAAUAAAAAAAAAAAGCAGAUUGGGAGGCCAAAUUCUUUCAAUAUUUUAUAUUUUAUAUUAAAAAACCAUCAAAGGGUGCAGUUAAAAACAACAAUGGAGUGCCUUUGUGUGUGCAGCUCUAUGGGACAAACAACUGUGACGGUCACAACUGUUUCCCAUAAAAAUUUGGGACUGAUGCUUAAAGUGAAGAGUGUGUUUGGCGAAAGAAAA